rnacentral:tRNA from 1 species
AUCAAUAAGUCUCGAGGUAAUUACGCCAAAUUGCAAAUUUGGAAAAGCACCAUAAAGGUGCC